AACGAACGCUGGCGGCAGGCCUAACACAUGCAAGUCGAGCGAACCCUUCGGGGUUAGCGGCGGACGGGUUAGUAACGCGUGGGAAUAUACCCUUUGGUACGGAAUAGCCUCGGGAAACUGAGAGUAAUACCGUAUGUGCCCUUCGGGGGAAAGAUUUAUCGCCAAAGGAUUAGCCCGCGUUGGAUUAGGUAGUUGGUGGGGUAAUGGCCUACCAAGCCUACGAUCCAUAGCUGGUUUGAGAGGAUGAUCAGCAACACUGGGACUGAGACACGGCCCAGACUCCUACGGGAGGCAGCAGUGGGGAAUCUUAGACAAUGGGCGCAAGCCUGAUCUAGCCAUGCCGCGUGGACGAUGAAGGCCUUAGGGUUGUAAAGUCCUUUCAGAUGGGAAGAUAAUGACGGUACCAUCAGAAGAAGCCCCGGCUAACUCCGUGCCAGCAGCCGCGGUAAUGUCUGUACU
rnacentral:rRNA from 1 species